UUCAGAGCUAAUUGCGAGCCUUAUCUUGUUUUCUCAAGCUUGAGCCUAGCUAGCUGGCUAUCUUUUUGCAGUGAGUGUAUGUAGCGACGGCAGUGGCAACUGCAGGGAGAGUAAUCGAGGACGAUGUGGUGACUAAAUCGCCCUUUUCAAGACUAACUUUUAAUGAAUAGUUCAAUCUUGUACAUACCUGGAGACCAACUCCUGCACUGCCUGAUUUGUUGCCACGAGGAAAGAGUUUUGAAAGGCAUUUUCAAGUUAAUAAUUAUGAGCGCUAUCCGUGGAUAACCUGCUGUGAGCUGACAAAAAAAAAGCUUUACUCUUGGAAUUGCCUACUCUUCAGCACAGAUAAUAGCUCAAGCUGGACAACUGGUUUCAAAGAUUUAGCCUGUUUGACAGUCAGCACUUCGACACCAAAACUCAACUUCACACCUGCGAGCUACAGACAAUAUACUACCACCGACACGGCCAGCAACCAAAACCUGCGGGAUCUCCUUCACUGCAGCCAAUUCCAGUUCGAAUGUGUUUGCCUGAGGUCCCAACGAAUAAAACAACUAGAGAUGGUGUAGUCGGAAAAUGUGAACGAUUAUGAAGGCCAGUGAUGAAGACGAGUCUAGCGACUUUCAGGUGCCGAGGCCCAGCAGGAUGACUCAAUCACGAUUUAUGACAUUGUCCGGAGGGCUGACCACAUGUUGGCUAUCACAAGAGUCAAACACAUCCGUGGAUUUCUCUGGGGCGGGACGUCCCCAUAGAACCCUGGGAGCACAAACACCGUUGGAGGUGUGAAGACAGGAUGAAAACGUGAAUGGACAAAAUGAAUGUUACGUUGUGAAUUGUGUUAGGAGUUUAUAAAGAGCUAUGGAUUUUGAUAAGUUCUAUUGUACUGUAAGGUCUCUGGAUUUCCUUUUUACAGAGUUACGGUGUUUUUCUGUUCCCUGAACGGCAGUCAGAUCAGAUGUGCGCUUCUAUCAUUUAGAGUUGUCGUGACAAUAACGUUUUAAUGUCUUUUGUUUAUUGUUUUGGCCAAGCAAAGUUGUGUUAAUUAGAUGAUACUGAGAUUUGGCACUCUGGGAAGAAAAAAAGUUGAAACUGUUCAUGGAGUCAUUGUUAAACCAAUCUCCUGGUGUAGUGUUCCCUUAAACUAUAGUGUGUUUGUUUACUUUCAUACAUUUAGAUAUUUUGUAUAUUUCCACAUUUAAUUCUUCUGGUAUGUACCAUUUGAUAUUUGUAUUGUUAU